AUGGGGGCACCGAAGCAGAAGUGGACGGCGGAGGAGGAGGCGGCGCUCAAGGCCGGGAUAGGCAAGCACGGGGCCGGGAAAUGGCGCACCAUACUCAAGGACCCCGAGUUCAGCAACAUCCUGCGCUACCGCUCUAACGUUGACCUCAAGGACAAGUGGCGGAACAUGAAUGUCACGGUGAACGCGUCGGGCACUCGCGACAAAGUGAGGACGACGACCACGACGACACCCACGGCUAAGAAGCCGAGGUCUGCUCCGAAGCAGGAAAACCACCCGACGGCGAUCACCACCAUCACCUCCGACGGCGAUGAUGACGUCAUCGACGUGAAGCCUAUCAUAAAGCCUAUUGUGACGUUUACUACAGGUUCAGGGAAUAAAUCGCUAUCCAGGCUAGAAAAUAUCAUACUGGAGGCCGUGAAGACCUUGAAUGAGCCUACAGGGUCAUACAAAACAGCCGUUGCUAAUUACAUAGAGGAACAAUACUGGCCACCUGCUGAUUUUGAUCAUGUACUGUCUGCAAAACUGAAUGAGUUGACAUCAUCUGGGAAAUUGAUGAAGGUGAAUCGGAAGUACAGGAUAGCCCCUAGCUCGUCCUUUUUAGAAGGGCGAAGCUCCAAAAUGCUGCUGCUUGAUGAUAUAAAAAAGGAGCCAACCAAGGUAGAGAAGGUAGAGCGGGAUGGCUUUACAGCCCACACCAAAUCUCAGGUAGAUGCUGAACUUGCACGGAUGAGAAACAUGAGCGCAGAAGAGGCUGCAGCUGCAGCAGCUCGUGCGGUUGCUGAGGCAGACGCUAUCAUGGCGGAAGCUGAAGCCGCAAUGAGGGAAGCGGAGGCUGCAGAAGCUGAUGCUGUAGCUGCACAAGCCUUUGCGGAAGCAGCAAUGUUGACAUUAAAAAACAGGAGUUCCGCAAAAUUGAUCAUUCGAGGUUGA
rnacentral:rRNA from 1 species